rnacentral:rRNA from 1 species
AUACGUAGGGGGCGAGCGUUGUCCGGAAUGAUUGGGCGUAAAGGGCGCGUAGGCGGCGCGGUAAGUCUGGAGUGAAAGUCCUGCUUUCAAGGUGGGAAUUGCUUUGGAUACUGCCGCGCUUGAGUGCAGGAGAGGUUAUCGGAAUUCCCGGUGUAGCGGUGAAAUGCGUAGAGAUCGGGAGGAACACCAGUGGCGAAGGCGGGUAACUGGACUGCAACUGACGCUGAGGCGCGAAAGUGGGGGGAGCAAACAGGAUUAGAUACCCUGGUAGUCCACACUGUAAACGAUGAAUGCUAGGUGUAAGAGGUAUCGACCCCUUUUGUGCCGGAGUCAACACAAUAAGCAUUCCGCCUGGGGAGUACGGCCGCAAGGUUGAAACUCAAAUGAAUUGACGGGG